ACAAUCGGUACCAUAGAGAUGGAACUAAGUGUUUCAGUUAGAUAGCACUAGUAAGCAGUUGGAGCAGAAUUUUCAAUAUCAGGCGUUUCGAUUGGGGAGGUAGCCAGAAGCGAUUUCUCCGAGCUUCCAUGGUUGCACUUGCAGCUGAGCAUGCCCGCAAAGAAGAUGAUGACCGAAGUCGCCCAACACACCAUCUUCAACAAUUUGGACAUCCCAUCCAUAGUCAUAGGAAACGGAGUACUCCCUUCGCCCCAAAAAAGACUUAACCUAGUAUUGGAUGGGACAUUUUUCUAGAUUCAUUGUACUAGAAAACAUCAAAUCCAAUACUAGGUUGAUUUUUUGUGGGACGGAGGGAGUAGGUGGCAGCGUUCCUCCGCGCGGUCAUUUUCGUUCCCACCUUGUAAAAGCCUCUCACGAGUCGCGUACCACGUUCCUCGACCCUGUUCCUUGCUUCCAUCGACCCGGGAACUUUGCAACUUUGUGACUUUAUUAUUCCCAGGGACAAAGAAGCUGGAGAGCAUGACACCUACAGUGACGAGGGACCUUUUUAUCAGAGGCAUUUUGGACCUCUCGUAACCCUCCCAAAUGCGAGCCUUGAUCACCUCUUGGUAAUCGACCUUCCGGAAUCUCCUCUCGAUAUCAUCUAUGAACCUAAGCUGCAUAUCAGCGGGUACGCUGUAUUCCGUGUGUUCCCGGAUGAGGUGCUGCUUGACGUACUUGGGUGAGCCCCGUAAGAAGCGAUCCAAUCUAUCCAGGAUGAAUCCCUUCUUCAUAUCCUGCAGAGGCUGCAGCUUCUUGGCAGCACGCUUAUCGGCCGCAGCAUCGAUCCGGAACCUCUGCGAUUCCUCCCAAGCCCGGAUCUUGAGCCGCUUCUCGUGAUCGCCUACCCCGAAAUUCUGUUCCACACGUUCGUUAAGAAUCUCCUGGACUUCGUCAACGAUCUCGUAUCUAACUCUAAAGAAGUCCUCCCUGAUGUUCUCAGGGCUUGCGCCUUCUUCGCUGCUCCCGCAGCCUCGAUCCAAAACUUGUCUGCUUCCUUCCGUGCAUGGACCUCGAGUUGUUGCUCCCCCCCUUCGCGAUCCAGCGUCUCGGGAUUCCCAUCGAAAGCGGCGUUGAUGAACUCGAGCCAGAGAUCGUCGGGAACCUUGUGGUCGUUGCAGUGUUGCUCCUGGAGAUCAAGCCUGAUGUGCUCGGGUAGGAGGUGGUCGUAGCAGCCGAGGAUCGUUGCCGUCUGCUGGAUGAAUCGCGUUUCCAGGUCUUGUAGCGCCUGCGCCUUCGCUGCCGCCCACUUCUGAGACAUCAUCCUCGAUGAAAAGACCCCUUCGAUCGAGCGCUCAGUUGAUCAGACGCGAUCAAAACCGGGGUUCUUAAAUCUGGGAGAAAAAAGAAGUCAAGAACUAUUCCGAAUCGGAUAAGAGUGCCAAACUCAAAGGUAAACGGAGACGGAAACGAAUUAAACCUGAUGGGCGUAGUGGCGAAAAUGUUGAUCCUCGCGAUCAAUGGAUUCUGCGUUUCCAUUUUCGGCCGGCCCAGAACUCGCGCGGUCAAUUUUUUGUUGUGAUUUUCAGUUUCAGACAUGGUCAUCAGAUCCUGAAAUACUUGUACUUCAGUUGAACAACUGUAGACUGUAUGUACUGGUAGCCUUUGCUUCUCAGCACAAAAUCACGCAUCGAAAGUUUCGAUCCUUUAAUUUUGCA